rnacentral:rRNA from 1 species
GACGGAGGGUGCUAGCGUUGUUCGGAAUCACUGGGCGUAAAGGGCGCGUAGGCGGCCUCAGGUGUCGGAUGUGAAAGCCCGGGGCUCAACCCCGGAGGUGCAUCCGAAACUCUGGGGCUGGAGGUCGGAAGAGGAGGGUGGAAUACCCAGUGUAGAGGUGAAAUUCGUAGAUAUUGGGUGGAACACCGGUGGCGAAAGCGGCUCUCUGGUCCGGACCUGACGCUGAGGCGCGAAAGCGUGGGGAGCAAACGGG